CUCAGGUGCCAUGUAAUAUGGACUCCCAACUAUCUCCGAGAACUUCUCACCUGAAAAUAUGUAAGCAUAAAGCAUUACAAACCAAGAAUCUGUUAUAACAAAUACGAGAAAGACACUGCAGAAAACAAAUAAAUAAACAUUAGAAAAUUAAACCAAUUUGACCAGGUCCACGAGCAAAGAAAGGCGAUUCAGAUCAGAGUGAGUGAUUCUAAUGCUAGUGCUACCGAGUCGUUCAAAGGCAUAUCAACAGGACUAUUACACUAGACAAGUUGCAUCUAAGGUAACUAACAUUCAAGAACCACUA